GAUCAUGGCUCAGAUUGAACGAUGGCGGCAGGCUUAACACAUGCAAGUCGAGCGGAGAGAGGUAGCUUGCUACUGAUCUUAGCGGCGGACGGGUGAGUAAUACUUAGGAAUCUGGCUAUUAGUGGGGGACAACAUUUCGAAAGGGAUGCUAAUACCGCAUACGUCCUACGGGAGAAAGCAGGGGAUCUUCGGACCUUGCGCUAAUAGAUGAGCCUAAGUCGGAUUAGCUAGUUGGG
rnacentral:rRNA from 1 species